UACAGAGGUCCCAAGCGUUGUUCGGAUUCACUGGGCGUAAAGGGUGCGUAGGUGGUCGGGUAAGUCUGAUGUGAAAUCUCCGAGCUCAACUCGGAAACUGCAUCGGAUACUAUUCGGCUAGAGGGUUGGAGGGGGGACUGGAAUACUUGGUGUAGCAGUGAAAUGCGUAGAUAUCAAGUGGAACACCAGUGGCGAAGGCGAGUCCCUGGACAACUCCUGACACUGAGGCACGAAAGCUAGGGGAGCAAACAGG
rnacentral:rRNA from 1 species